rnacentral:tRNA from 1 species
GUGGGUGUAGCUCAGUGGUAGAGCACAUGCUUAGCAUGCAUGAGGUCAUGGGUUCAAUCUCCAGCACCUCCA